rnacentral:rRNA from 1 species
CCAGACUCCUACGGGAGGCAGCAGUGAGGAAUAUUGGUCAAUGGCCGCAGGGCUGAACCAGCCAAGUCGCGUGGGGGAUGACGGUCCUAUGGAUUGUAAACCUCUUUUGUCAGGGAGCAAAGGGCGCCACGUGUGGCGUUUUGCGAGUACCUGAAGAAAAAGCAUCGGCUAACUCCGUGCCAGCAGCCGCGGUAAUACGGAGGAUGCGAGCGUUAUCCGGAUUUAUUGGGUUUAAAGGGUGCGCAGGCGGAAUGUCAAGUCAGCGGUAAAAUUUCGGGGCUCAACCCCGUCGUGCCGUUGAAACUGGCGUUCUUGAGUGGGCGAGAAGAAGGCGGAAUGCGUGGUGUAGCGGUGAAAUGCAUAGAUAUCACGCAGAACCCCGAUUGCGAAGGCAGCCUUCCGGCGCCCUACUGACGCUGAGGCACGAAAGUGCGGGGAUCGAACAGGAUUAGAUACCCCCGUAAA